CGCGUAGGCGGCCGAGCAAGUCAGUAGUGGAAGUCCAUUUUUCAAGGGUGGAAGUGCUAUUGAAACUGCAUGGCUUGAGUGCAGGAGAGGUUAUCGGAAUUCCCGGUGUAGCGGUGAAAUGCGUAGAGAUCGGGAGGAACACCAGUGGCGAAGGCGGGUAACUGGACUGCAACUGACGCUGAGGCGCGAAAGUGUGGGGAGCAAACA
rnacentral:rRNA from 1 species